AUUGAACGCUGGCGGCAUGCCUUACACAUGCAAGUCGAACGGCAGCACGGGAGCAAUCCUGGUGGCGAGUGGCGAACGGGUGAGUAAUGUAUCGGAACGUACCUUUCAGUGGGGGAUAACGUAGCGAAAGUUACGCUAAUACCGCAUAUUCUGUGAGCAGGAAAGCAGGGGAUCGCAAGACCUUGCGCUGAUUGAGCGGCCGAUAUCAGAUUAGCUAGUUGGUGAGGUAAAGGCUCACCAAGGCGACGAUCUGUAGCGGGUCUGAGAGGAUGAUCCGCCACACUGGAACUGAGACACGGUCCAGACUCCUACGGGAGGCAGCAGUGAGGAAUAUUGGACAAUGGGCGAGAGCCUGAUCCAGCCAUGCCGCGUGAGUGAAGAAGGCCUU
rnacentral:rRNA from 1 species